AAGUCGUGAUGUGGGCAUAGUCUCAUCAUAUCUUUAUACCUUUCUCAGGCGUCAAAGAGAGAUUCUUAAUCAACUUAUCUAAAACAAGCGAUUUGAUUUCUUAAAACU